GGGGCGGCCGCGCGCGCGCCGUCAGGUGCCUUUCGGUGCGCGCGACCUUGUAGAAGCUUUUGCGCUUGGAAAGGGCGUGUUCCUGGUGCGAACAGACACAAGUACUGCUGUGGGCGAUCUCUGGUGGUGCUCAGUGCGAAAGGCGCCCCGCUUAGCUUUUAGAAGUUGGAUUGCCGUUAAUGCCCGCUGUUCUGCUUCAGCCCCGGCCGUCCCCCUGUCCCAGAAGGGUCUCGGAGCCCUCCCUUCCUUUCCCCCACUGGGCUUUGCUCGUGCUUUGCAUCCUCUGAGGUUCCAGGCGGGCGCGGCGGCUCGCGGUUCGUACAGCUGCCGCCUGCGCUGCGCCGUUGGUGUUAGAGCCGGGUGAAAGGCAAAGCCCACCGCUCACCGAAGUGAAGUUCACCUCCUCUCCGCUCUGAUCCUGAGCUCCAUGGUACCUGUUUUAAACUGUCAUCACUUCAUUGAGCUGUAGGGGCCCCAGUGACCUGACCCAGUUGCACUUUAGAGGUGGCUGCCUUUUAAUUAUUUUGGUGCUGUUUGUGAAGAACUGGAUAAAGACACACACAGAAUCCCUGGUGGUAGAGAAAUAUUGUGGAUUAAGGACAUGACAGUGGAAGCCCUCAUCCUUCAAGCUGAAGACCGCUCAGAGCUCCUCAUCACAAGACAAAUUUUUAAUGCUGUGGAACUAUCAAUAUAUCAGAAACUGCCAAUGGAGAUGGGCUGAGAAACCAAGAUCAGACAGAGCUGUUGCCUCUGUAGGCAGAUGACCGUGACUACCCAGAGAGCAAUAUAGAGCUGGAUUGUUCAAGGGAAUUGCUGAUGAGAUCGAGCCCACCUGGAGCAAGUGAGAACCUGAUUGUGAGGGGCCUGAUGAUAAUCCUUGGACAAGCACUCUUCUCCUCAAGCCUGGCGUGAACUCAGAAAUCUGCUGCUGAGCUGGGACUGCUUUGCCUUGCCAUUAAGCGAAACUGGAGCAGAGUUGAGCCCUGUAUCGAAGCUCGCUUAUCCCCAAGGUGAUGCGCCUCAAUUCUGCCCGGAUCAUGCCCAGCACAUUCGUGAGAAAAGAUUUCUGUGAGACUUCAGCCUGCAGAACACUGUUCGUAUCUUCUGUAUGCAGAGAUUUUUGGGACUCAUUGGAGAGUUUUUGCCCUAAGAAAGAAAUGAUUUGAGACUUUCGCAAGGCAAAUAAUGAAACAUAAUCACCAUGGGAAUCGGUUUGUUGGAGCUGGAGUUACGAGUUGUGGGAUGAAAUUUGUUUAGAAUCUCUUCAGGAGCUUGGAUGCACUUUCACUAAAACUGAUGGAUGCUCGUGUCUCUGACUUUGCUGUGGAAGCUUCAGCUGUAAAUCACAAAUGUGGUCUCAAUACACAGGCUUAAUUACAUUCUGAUUUGGGGAGCAACAUAUUUAAAUUGGUACUCUGCAGGUUGACGUUUCUACAGAGACACCAUCAGCACGCAAUCUCCAGGUAACUGCACUACUUGCAGAACGCUUGUCUGUUGUUUUUUGUUUUGUUUUUCCUUGAAACUCCUUUGAACUGGCUGUACUCUUUCCACUUCUCAUGCUUGCAUAACGUCUCCUCUGAUCUUUACUGAAGAAGCAAUAUUUUGCUUUUCUAUUUCAGUCCUUACCAUUGUUUUCCUAGCUUCGAGUUCUCAAGAAAUAGGAUGUCUUAAUUAAAAAAAAAAGUCUACUUAGGCUUUUACAAGUGGGUGGUGUGACAAAUUAGCCCUAUCUUCCACCAACAAUCUGAUGGAUGGGAAAAUACGAGAUGCAGAGGCUGUUAUUGUAGCUGGAAGCUCUCUACCACAUCAAUUUUGGCCCCAAGCCAGAAGACCCUAAGAAAUGACGAGAACGACUGACGGGUUUAUGAAGUGUAUUCCUUGUGAGGCCUGACAUCAAAGGAAUGUGUCUUUACAAGCAAAAUCUCUGUGCCUUCUGCAAAAACACUUCUUUUUGUCUUCAAACUGGUAUGAGGCCUGGAGUUCUCAUGUUGCAAGAGAAAGGUUAUCUUCUUCUCCGGCCUGACUCUGAAAGUUUCAGCCUCCAGUUUAGUCAGCGUUGUGAUGUAGUGGUCUGAGAUGAGGGUUUGUCCGGAUUCCAGGAAAUACAGAAGGAUCACCUUCUUCCAAUCCUGAAAGGCAGCGCACAUCACUUUACCUGCUGAGGGAUGCAGCUUUUUCUUCGAUUGGGAAUUCACGCGUUGCCUCUUGCAGUUUGAGACUCUGGCUCAUCGUGCUGACUCCACAUCUCAUCACCGGUAAUGAUGCAAUCCUGGAAACUGCUACCUUCAGCUUCGCCUUGGAUCACUAGGUCCUGACAAACUUACUGUGAAACUUCACGUGGAACUUCAAAAUAAGGAAUCAGAAUUCUGGUUGAGAAUCUAGUAUGAACCUUGGAAUGCCAUAAUAACUCAGCUUCCCUCUUCCUUUUAACACGUUUGACAUCCUUAAGCACACAUCCUUAAGUAAGCUCUUUCUUAGCUGUUGUUGAUCGUAGGGCUAGUUAUGAAUCACAUCAUGUGGAGGUUUUUUUGCCAUUCACUUGCAGCACUUCAUACGAAGCUGUAAAUAAAGAUGAUGCAUGAAGUUGGCUGAAGUUUUCCACUCACGUGGUAUUUUUCCAAUAAAAAUUAAGCAAAAGUUUACAGCAAUACACAAUUAAGUGUUCAGUAAUUACUGCUUCUGUCUCAGAAAGGCAAGUCCUUGACCAAAUAGCAUAAAUCCAGUUUCGCUGGCAAUUAAAUGUUAUUCGGCGAAAGAGCAGUACUGAAGUUGUCAAGGAACCAAAUUGCUUACUUAUAAUUAGCAACAUUAUGGUCAUUGUCUGGCUACCCAGACAUACUGUAAAUAAGCCUGUGCAGUCUGUAUGAUUUAAGAUUAUUUAGAAGACAGUCUCAAGAGAGAGGUAAACCAACUCCUUUCUCAGUCACUCAGUCAGCUUGCCUCAGCAGGGUAGUGCCUACAACUCUGUCCAAUUUAACCCUUUUUAGCAGACUAAAGGAAGGUCUGUUCCUUUCUCUAAAUAUUGCUCCAAUUCCUCUAUCUCGCAAGAUCAUUUAGAACCGCAUUUGUCAGAUUUUUCAGUUUCCUGGAUUUCUCAAACUGUUUUGCAAGAAGCGUUAAGAGAUGUUGCUCCGUAAUUUACACUUUUCACUGCAGUUCACGGGGAGCUUUAGCCAGCAUUGGAAUCCAGAAGAAGUAAGAGCCAUAGAUUUGUUAUACUCUACGCUUGGUUGCCAGAUGACUGUUUUUUUUCACUCCGUACUGUACUUUUUCAUGUUCUAGUUUAGCCUUUCAGGUUCAGCUUGGCUAAUGUCUAGGAAGAAAUUUUCAAAAGCGAACACUUCCUCUCAGUGCCAAUUCACAUUUAAGAGAAAAUGUGAAUAAUUUACUGUGAGUGCUCACAGUCCUUAACCAGCAGUUUGCAGUCCAAAUGACUUUCAAACAAACAAACAAACAAACAAAAAUUGCUUUAGGUUGAUUCAGCGGGUGGAUCGGACCAGGUGUCUUCCGAAAGAUCCCUUCCAACCUCAACUGUCCUCUGACCUUUUUUUCACAACUCCACUGCAACACUGUGAGUCCACGCACUUACAGUUUCUGUCUAAAAGCACAGAUUUCAGCAGUUAACCCUGAGUCAGAGUAUAAAUUAAGUCCUCCUUUAUUUCUACUUGGACAUGUUAUUUCGUCAGUCAGGGCUGAAGAAUACACAGCCAAAGUUUGUCAUUAAAUGCUGCUGAGUAGGUUUUGCAGGAAAUAACAAGUUUAGUAGGACAAAACUGAAAAUAGAAAGAUAAGGCAUAACUCUGAUAUUAAAGAUAGACACAAGCGUACAGAAUUAACCUUGGAAGAGCUUGUACUGUUCCGUUCUAUCCACGCAAGUGAAAUUGAGCUCUAGAGAGUGAGUCAGAGUCUACAGAUCGUAGCAAAGGAAGUAGAGAUUCAAGCCACAGUAGAGGUUAUUUUUGUCUUGAUUUGUCCUCUUCUUAAUCAUGGAAGUAUUAUGUAUGUUUUCAUCUUAAAUUAAUUUUAGUCUCUCGCAUCAGGAACAGUUUCUGAUUUUAGGAAGGCUUUCACGGGAGUAGUAAGAUGGAGAUUUUGCUCGCUGAAUGACACAUGAAGAGAAUAACGAUUUCAGAGCUGCAUGUCCUAUUUUAGCAAUUUUAACUAUCAGGAGAAGAUGGGCUGACCUACUUUCAAGUAACAAAAAUAGCCAGGGAUCUUUAAACAAAAUCAAUCUCAUUGAGUUGAACAGAAAUGGAGAAAUAUAAUUGUUCCAUUUGCAGGUUAUGCACUGCUCACAGCGUAACCUGGGGACGUGUACAUCGAGGCUCUGGAAGCAUUAAAACAGAGCAGCCCGACUGCGUAUACUGCCAGCAGAGA